rnacentral:rRNA from 1 species
GAUGAACGCUGGCGGCGUGCUUAACACAUGCAAGUCGAACGGUGAACGAGGGAGCUUGCUCCAUCCGGAUCAGUGGCGAACGGGUGAGUAAUGCAUCGGAACGUGCCUGGUAGUGGGGGAUAACUGCUCGAAAGAGCAGCUAAUACCGCAUACGACCUACGGGUUAAAGUGGGGGACCGCAAGGCCUCACGCAGAAAAAUGAGCCGCCGCCGGAUUAGCUAGUUGGCGGGGUAAAGGCCCACCAAGGCGACGAUCCGUAGCUGGUCUGAGGGGAUGAUCAGCCACACGGGGACUGAGACACGGCCCAGACUCCUACGGGAGGCAGCAGUGGGGAAUAUUGGACAAUGGGCGCAAGCCUGAUCCAGCCAUGCCGCGUGUGUGAAGAAGGCCUUCGGGUUGUAAAGCACUUUUGUCCGGAAAGAAAUCCUUUCGAUUAAUACUCGGGAGGGAUGACGGUACCGGAAGAAUAAGCACCGGCUAACUUCGUGCCAGCCGCCGCAGUAAUAC